GGGCAUGUGGUGGAAUUGGUAGACACCCCGGUUUUAGGUACCGGUGCUUUAUGCGUGUGGGUUCGAGUCCCUCCAUGCCUACCA
rnacentral:tRNA from 1 species